rnacentral:rRNA from 1 species
AAAACAUGUCUUUUUGAUAAAAAUUUAAAGUCAGGUCUGCUCACUGAAUUAUUUUAAAGAGCCGCAGUAUAUUGACUGUGCAAAGGUAGCAUAAUCAAUAGUUUUUUAAUUGGAAACUAGAAUGAAAGAUUAGACGAAAAAUUAAUUUUCUUUGUUUUAAUAAAUUUAAUUUUAAAUUUAAGUGAAAAUGCUUAAAUAAAAUUAAAAGACGAGAAGACCCUAUAGAUUUUUAUUAUUGAAAUAAAUUUUUAAAUUUAAUUUAAUAAAAUAAUUUAAUUGGGGCGAUUUUAUAAUAUAAAUAACUUAAUUUUUUAAAACCAUAAAUAAUUGAAUAUUUGAUCUAAAAUUUUUAAAGAAAAGAUUAAAUUACCUUAGGGAUAACAGCGUAAUUUUAUUUAAGAGUUCAUAUCUAUAAUAAAGUUUGCGACCUCGAUGUUGAAUUAAGAUAAUAUAUUGGAGUAGAAAUUAAUAUAAUUAGUCUGUUCGACUAUUAAAUUCUUACAUGAUCUG